GCAGGGUGAGGUGUCACGCGGAGCUCUGAGACCAUGGCUGUCACUCAAGGAAUCAUUAGCACUGAAAGGAAGGCGGUGAAGCUUGUUGUGUUGUCAUCACACUGCGAGAAGGUUGGCUGCCGACCAAAUUAGCUUGCUUAGGGAGUGUGAAUCAAAAUGACAUGUAAUCUGAAUGGUAAUGAAAAUUUUCUCUUGCUUCAGGCUUCAGAUUUCAUCCAGAAAGCCGUCAUCUGGAAGACA
rnacentral:lncRNA from 1 species